CGGGCUAGAUGGAGAGUUAGCGGUGCUCUGUAACCCACAAUCCGCUAUAGUGGGAUUGAUGACUUGCCUCGGUUUGUGCUUGUCAAAUAUGUGCAGAAGGCUUUGGUGGUGAAAUCAAGGUCCCAUGCAAUCAAAAUCUUCGAACCAUGUCAGGUCCUGACGGAAGCAUCAUUAAGAGGACACUUUGAUGUGCCAUGGGGAAACUUUGGUGGAGUCAAAUCUU
rnacentral:SRP_RNA from 1 species